rnacentral:rRNA from 1 species
GACGAACGCUGGCGGCGUGCCUAAUACAUGCAAGUUGAGCGCUGAAGGUUGGUACUUGUACCAACUGGAUGAGCAGCGAACGGGUGAGUAACGCGUGGGGAAUCUGCCUUUGAGCGGGGGACAACAUUUGGAAACGAAUGCUAAUACCGCAUAAAAACUUUAAACACAAGUUUUAAGUUUGAAAGAUGCAAUUGCAUCACUCAAAGAUGAUCCCGCGUUGUAUUAGCUAGUUGGUGAGGUAAAGGCUCACCAAGGCGAUGAUACAUAGCCGACCUGAGAGGGUGGUCGGCCACAUUGGGACUGGGACACGGCCCAAACUCCUACGGGAGGCAGCAGUAGGGAAUCUUCGGCAAUGGACGAAAGUCUGAACGAGCAACGCCGCGUGAGGGAAGGAGGGUUUCGGAUCGUAAAACUCUGUUGGUAGAGAAGAAAGUUGGUGAGAGUGGAAAGCUCAUCAAGUGACGGUAACUACUCAGAAAGGGACGGCUAACUACGUG